rnacentral:lncRNA from 1 species
ACAAUUACAAAAAGAGAAAAACACGCAAAAUCCAUCAUACCCCUCACCUCUGCUGCUUCUUCCUCUUCAUUUCACCUUCUUAACACUCAUUUUCUCAGAAAAAACACCCACGGACUUUGACCUCACUCAGAUACGCCUACAAACACAUACCGGCAAUCGAGAAUCUCCCCGGAUUCGGUCCUUUCGGUUGUGAACGAGCAGAGAGAGGAGCUGAACAGAGGAUUUGAAAUCAUGGGGGUUUCUCUCGAAAUUCCGGGGUAAAAUUUGGGAAAAUCAGGUAGAAACUUUCAUUGAGAAAAUCGAAAUACAAGAAAACAUUCCAUUUCCUUUGUAGAUCUUUUGAUUUGAAGUGGAAGGAAGCUGAGGUGGAGAGAUUGAAUUGUUGAGUUGCUGUCCGCGUUUUCGAAUCUCAGUUGGUUCCUGCUUUAGCUGUCAAAGUGCAAAUCUCUGGCUGUUUAUCGUUGAUGUUGCUGGAUCCCAAAAGGGUAUUGAAUUCUUUUGUCUUUCUGCGUUUAGGUAAGUUCUACACUUUGUAAUUAUAAUGAACUAAAAUAUGGUGUCUCGAUUUCCCUAUCAUGUAUUUAUUUUGCUUGUUUGUUAGUGAUGCCACAAUCUCUCUUAGGUGUAUUUGAUGUUGCAUUUUACUUAGCUGCUAUUUGUAGUUGAAUGAAUUUAAAGUCGGCUUAUGUGCAGUAGCUCGAAGUACAACACCCAUAUGGAUCAACUCGAUAUCUAUGGUCAAUUAAUGGUCACUACGCAUCAUUAGUUGUUAAACCAUUUGUUAGUCUUAAAUGAGGUGGAAGUUUUGUUUAAAUUUUUGUAGAUUUAGCUAUAAUUCAAACAGAAGGUUAUCAUAGUGUCAUUAGUGAAUACAUGGCUAUCAUUUGCAUAUCUGACCACUAACCGGUUAUAUCAGUUAAAUCUAAAGCUAAGGAUUGGAAUUGAAGUCGUUUAUGUAAAGAAGUUUAAGAUGAAGAUUAGCUGUGCCCUGUUGAGAAUAGCUAUUAUUGCUUUCUGGAUAUAUUAGAAUGUAUUAUGCUCAUUAUCAUUUUUGAGAAUUGUAAUUGAAGUGACUAGAACUGUAACUUCCAUUUAUAUUUGUUGCAUUUUCCAUCAAUUGGUAAUUUUGCUUAUUCUCUUUGUUUUUGCGGUUUCCAACUACCGUUACUUCCUGAGUGCUUCUCUAUUCAAUGGCGAAGUUUAGUGGUCAUUACACUUUCGAGAUUUUAGAUUAAUGUAGUAAUAUUAGUUCUACUUUGAUGGAAUACAUCUCAUAGUUGGUCACGAAGAGCAAAUAGAGGGCUAGCAAGUAUCUACCUACAAUUAAUAAAUUAUCGUGACUACGGGCCCUCGCUUAGUUGUUUCUAUUAAAAUGCUUAGAAUCCAGGCAGGGGGCGUUUACCGAAUUUCAUGGCCCCCUCAAAAGAUUACAACGCGUUAGACUCUAUUACAUCCGGCUUUAAUAAAUUACAUUCCUAAAUACGGGUGGGCAUUUGAUGCGGCCCAAAUCCUAAAACGUUUAAUAGAGUGUGCUUAGGAUUGCAGGUUCAUUUGAUGCGGCGCAAUCCGAACACACACUUUAAAAAACGUUUACUUUCUCAAAUAAAUAUUAUAUUAAUAAAGCAGUUAAAGAUAAAUUGGCACAUAGGCUCUUCAUGUAAUAAAAUCAGAUAAAAGCUAAAUGCAACAGUUGAGCGACUGUGCUAGAACCACGGAAUCCGGGAAUGCCUAACACCUUCUCCCGGGUUAACACAAUUCCUUAUCUGGAUUUUUGGUUCGCAGACUGUUAACAGAGUCAUGACUUUUCUCGGUUCGGGAUUCAACCGGUGACUUGGGACACCAUUAAUCUCUCAUGUGGCACUCUGAAUAAAUAAUAAAGAAAUUCUGUUCUGAUUGUCCUUUAAGUGGAAGAACUCCUUUACGCCAUUUUGCGGGGUGUACAGCGAAAAAGGAGGUGUGACAAUCCCUCUGCUUGAACAAGUGCUGCAAACUAUGGUGGUCCAUAUAAACCUCACAGGACACCCCAUACAAGUAAUGUAUCCAAAUCUUAAGAGCAUGAAAAGUUGCUGCCAACUCCAAAUUAUGCACAGGGUAAUUCUUCUCAUUAACAUGCUGAAAUGAAGCUUACGAAAUAACUCACCUCUCCUGCAUCAAUACGCAUCCCAGGUCAACACACGAAGCGUCGCAAUGAACUGUAUAAAUCCCUAAACCGGAAGGCAGUACUAGAACUGGUGUUGUGGUCAAAGCUGUCUUGAGCUUCUGAAAGCUCGCUUCACACUCGUCGGACCAACAGAAAGGGGCACCCUUCUAGGUCAUCUAGUCAAAGGUGCUGCAAUAGAUGAAAAACCCUGCACAAAUUGGCGAUAAUAACCUGUUAAACCCAGGAAACUCCUGAUCUCAAUCAUUGAAGUAGCACGUGGCCAACUCAAAACUACCUCAAUCUUCUUAGGAUCCACCUUAAUACCAUCUCCGGAUACAACAUACCCCAAGACUGCUACUAACUCAAGCCAAAGCUCACACUUGGAGAACUUGGCAUAUAGAUUCUUCUCUCGUAGUGUCUAAAGCACUACUCUCAAAUGCUGCUCGUGCUCCCCCGGGCUACGUGAGUAGAUCAAGAUGUUGUUAAUGAUGACAAUAACAAAGGAAUCAACAUAAGACCUGAACACCCUGUUCAUCAAGUCCAUAAACACCGAUGGGGCACUAAUCAAGACGAAAGACAUCACCAGGAACUCAUAAUGGCCAUAUCUAGUAUGGAAGAAAGUCUUCGGGACACAGCUGAUGAUACCCUGAUCUCAAGUCGAUCUUAGAAAACACCCUAGCACCCUGCAAUUAGUCAAACAAAUCAUUGAUAUGAGGCAAACAGCUACUUGUUCUUGAUGGUGACUUUGUUCAACUAGCAGUAAUUAAUGUACAUCCACAUAGUUUCCUCCUUCUUCUUCACAAAUAACACUAGUACACCCCAAGAUGAUACACCAGGUCUCACAAACCCCUUUGUUAAAAAAUCCUCAGUUGCUCCUUCAACUCUUUCAUAGCCAUAUGGUACGGUGGAACAGAUAUAGGUUAGAUACCUGGAGCCAAAUCAAUGCAGAAAUCAAUGUCACGAUAUAAUGGCAUGCUUAGAAGGUCAGAAGGAAACACAUAGGCGAACUCACAAACUAUUGGCACUAAAUCAAUCAUUAGAGACUCUACGAUGGUGACCCAAACAUAUGCUUGAUAUGCCAAACAACCCUUCUCUACUAGAUGUCGAGCCUUCAAAAAAAAAGAGAUAACCUGACUAGAUGAACUAACGGAGGAACCAUUCCACUCCAAUAUCGGCAACUCUAGCAUCGAUAAAGUAAUAGUCUUGGCAUGACAGUCAAGAAUGACAUGAUAUAGAGAUAACCAAUCAAUGCCCAAGAUGACCUCAAAGUCGAUCAUGUCAAGUAACAGGAGAUCCGCCCUAUUUUCGUAGCCACACAGGACCGAUAGAUCCGAUCCACAACCACAUAAUUGCCCACAUUAGUGGACACAUAAACAAGAGUAUCCAAGGAAUGACGAGGAAUAUCCAGGAAAUGAGCAAACAGAUGAAUAUGUAGACCCUGGAUCAAACAAUACCGAAACAUCCCUACUACAUACACAAAUAGUACAUAUGAUCACGGUAUUUGAGGCCACUACAUCUGGUCUGGCCUAAAAAGAAUAGAAUCUAGCUGGAGUGCCAGCUGGAUGGCCUUCUGCGAGCCGAACAACGGUUGAAUGACCUCCCCCUGUAUGGCCUCCACCUCUAGGAUGGCCCCUGCUAGCCCGUUCUCCACCUUUGGGUGUCCUGACGGCUGGUGCUAUAAUCAUAGGCUGAUAAACCUAUUGUACUGCCUUGCCUUGAAUUUCGGGACAAAAUCUCUUCAUGUAACCUGGAUCCCCAAACUCAUAACAACCCCGUGGUUCCAUAGACUGUUUUCCUGAAGUCUGAGCCUGCUAGCCUGAAUACCCACUAGAAGAACCAGAAUGGUUAAUGGGUGGUAUGAACUCAUUGGCAUAUCACCAAAGUAAAUACUGGAGCAACCCGGAUGACGAGAAUACCCGCUAGAGAAGCCCUGAAUAGCUGGUGUGUGGUAAGAACUCUCCGGCAUCGCAUUGAAUUAAGGCCUCACUGGAGAACCUCGAUGAGGUGGUAGUGGUGCUAAAUAUGGGGGCAUUCUGGCUUACCCCUACCAAAGUGACCUCUUCCCCUAGAUGGAGCUGCUCUAAAUUCUCUAGAGAAUCGGGUCCUCUUGUCCUGCUACAACUGCUCUCAACCCCUCUACCAGUAACUCCAAAUCCUCCGAUCAAUCUCCAUCACUAGUUGGUACUCAGUCUCCAUCUCAACCUCUCAGGCCAUUCUAGCCUGAAUAUCGAGGUGUAACCUCGCAACAAAUCUCUGCACUCUUUCUGCAUCUAUAGGGAGUAUCAUAAAUGCAUGGAGAGAAAACUCAUAGAAUCUCGCCUCAUAGUCAGUCACAGACAUCUCACCCUACUCGAGCUGCUGGAACGGGCACCAUAACUCUUCCUCUGAGAGGGUGGAAUAUACAUGUAUAGUAGAAGCUAUGUAAACUGACCUCAAGUCAUGGAAGGAGAACCUACUAGUCUACUGAUAAGGUAAGACUGCCACCAUCUACGGGCCCUGCCCUCUAACUAGAAGGCGGUAAAAUCUACUCCAUGGGAAUCCAAUAUCCUCAUGUUAUGCAGUCUAUCCCUGCACAUGUCAAUAAAAUCCCGGACGUCCUCAUGACACUCACCUUUGAAGAUAGGAGGGUGCAGCCUAGUCCACCUAUCCAAUAACUUUUACGGAUCACCGUCCAUAACUGGUUUAGGCUCAGGUACCACUGCUAUAUCUGGUUGAGCACAGCUCGCGAGUAAGGUACCCGGAGUCUGAUACAUGGCCACUGCAUUCCCAAGAGCCUGAGUAGUAGGGGUCUGUGCUCCCCCUCCUGCUUGAGAAGUGGCUAGGUCUACGGAAAUAAUUCAGCCUGGGUCAUAAAGUCCAUGAACUGUAGCAUAUGGCCCAUGACCUCCUGGAAUCCUGGUGCCAUCAUGAAAUCCGUCAGGGUAGGUGGUGCUGCAGGCACCUCGCCUUGCUCGUCAAUCAUGGGAUCCCCUACUGAAUCCACUAGUAGUGCAACUGGGGCAGCUUCAGGAUGCCAUCAUCCCCUACCUGUGGUCAGUGCCCUCCCUGGUCUCUGCCUCAUCCUCUAGCAAUGAGGGAGAAGCUCCUCUCGAGCCUCGAACGUCUGUCGUGCGCAUCCUCACCAUCUGAGAGAGAACAAAAGAAGGGAAAUUUAGGAUACUAUGAACUGCACAAUAGAAGAUGAAUCAAGAGUAGUUUCCUAACACCCUAUAGCCUCUCGAAGAUAAGUACAGAUGUCUCCGUACCGAUCCGCGAGACUCUACCAGGUUUGCCCAUAACUUGUGAUACCUACGUGAACUUAGUGCUCUGAUACCAUGUUAUUACGAUCCAAUUUCCAAUCUAGGUCGCGAUAGUGCCCAGCACCGAGGUUAGGCAAGCCUAACUUAACCAACUAGUGGGUUCCAUUUAUGCUAUGAAAACAUUUCCAAGAUUGACUUAGAUUAAAUUUAAAACAUUCAAUAACAAUAAAUAGUUAGGCAAUUUAAAGUUAAUGUGACCAAAUUAUGUCAUAAUUAAGUGAUUACAUUCCAAAAGAAAAGUCUAAUAAUGUGUGUGCCAAGAUCUAGUGUAACGACCCGAUCAGUUAUUUUUGGAAUUUACGCCCUGAUCCCCCAUUACGUGCUUUCCAUAAGUUCAUUUAUGCUAAUUUGGUUUGUCGGGACGUUCGUUAUUGGAUUUUGGAGAAUUUCAGGACACUUAAUCCUUAAAUGAGAGCAUAAGUGUUGGAAAGUGAUCCGGAGUCAGAAUAGUGUGAAGACAACUUCGGAAUAGAAAACUGAUGGUUCUGUUAGCUCUGUUAGGUGAUUUCGGGGUUGGGAGCAUGUUCGGAAUGUAUUUUGAGGGUUCGUAGCUCAUUUAGGCUUGAAAGGACGAAGUUUGAAUUUUUGAAGUUUUUGGUCCGAUAGUGAGUUUUUGAUCCGAGGUUCGGAAUGGAAUUCCGGAAGUUGCAAUAGCUCUUUCAUGUCAUUUGGGAUGUGUGUGCAAAAUUUCAUGUCAUUCGGAUUGUUUCAGUUAGGUUUUUGAUCAAAAGUGUGUUGGAUCAAAUUUGAAGUUCUUAGGCUUAAAUCAUUGAUUAAUUCGAGUUUUCGGUGUUGUUCUAGAUAUUUUAAGGAUUGGUGCAAGUUUGAAUGAUGUUGUGGGACGUGUACGUGGGUUUGGUUGAGGUCCGGGGGCCUCUAGUAUGUUUUGGAUGCUCAACGGGGCAUUUUUAGUGUUGGAAAAAUGUUGCAGCAGCUGAAACUCUUCAAUCAUCUGGUAUUUUCGCUUCUGCGGCCUAGGAACCGCAAAAGCAUCCCUACCCAUCACAGAAGCAGCUUUUGGUCAUCCUCCAAGAACCUGCAAAACCGGUGGUGAUUCCGCAGAAGCGGAUCCACUUCUGCGAGAUGGGAAUUGUAGAAACAAAAGCUUGGAUUUUUAAAGAAGCCGCAGAAGCGGAACUGCAGAAAAGAGAAUUUCGAUGGUUAGUUUUCAAAAGUUAGAAAAAUCAAAUUGAGCUUGGGGAAGGGCGAUUUGUGAGGGUUUUGAAGAGGGGAUUAUUGGGUAAUGUUUCUUUGAUCCCUUCUAGUUAUAUUUCAUUAUUAUGUAUUUAAAUCAAUCAUUAAAAUUUGAAUUGAGGAUCAAAAAUUGGAAAUAUUGGGUGAAACUUCAUAGGCUAAACUAUUGAGUUUAAGUGGGCAUUUGAUCUCCGAUUUGGGAGAUUUCUAUAUGGUUAGACUCAUGAGAGUAAGAGGGUUUUGAAAUGUGAUAAUUAUUUGAUUUUGAGACGUUGGCAUGUGGGGCAUUUUGGUCAUUUUACCUAUUUUGUGCCUUAGCUUUAAAUUUAAUAGUGGAAUCAGUUGUUUGCAAUGUUAUUUACUAUAUGUAAUCGAAUUGAAUAUAUUUGGGCCAUUUAGAGUCGGUUACUCAUGGCAAAGAUGUGGUUCUUAGUUGAUUUUGAUCCGGUUCGAGAUAAGUGGCUUGUCUAAUUUUGUGUGGGGGACCUUCUCCCCUUAGACUUGUUAUUUGAUUAUUGCGUGCCUUGUACGUGAGGUGAUGAGCGCGUACUUAUGUGAAUUGUUGAACAUCCGAGUUUUUACUUAAAAGGAUCAAGUUGCUAUUCCCUUCUUACUUUCUUUGUAUACUUGCCAUAUAGUCUGUGAUAGCCUAGAAAAACAUGUUUAGCUGACUUAAUUGGUUUAGUUGCCUAAAUUGUCUUGUUGCAUUACGUGAAGCAUGUUAAGCUAGAUUUCCUGUUGCCUUGGUGUUUAAUUCCAUUUCUGAUUGUUCUCUUGUUAUUGGUGUGUAUUUAUAUUGGGACUACGGAUGUGGGACUUCGGUAGAUUACCCCGCCACCCCCAUGCUUGUGUACUUUGGGAUUGCGGGUUAGAUUCCUAAUAGAUCCCCCUGCACAUUGAUAGUUGGACUAUGGGAGGGUAUCUCCGGGGAUCUACUAAACAGUGAGAAAGGACUACAGGACGAUAUCUUGGGAGAUCCUCAUGGUAUCUUUGGUAUUGAGCUGUACAUUUCCAUGUGUAUUUAUUACUUCGUUUAUUUGUUGUCGACUUGUGUAUUCAGACAUAUUUCGUUGUUGUUUCCAUUAUUCUAUCUAUUUUUCAUAUUGUACAUCCUUAUUGUUAUGUUUGAUCUCAGUAGGGCCCUGACCUUCCUCGUCACUAUCCGAUCGAGGUUAGGCUUGGCACUUACUGAGUAUCGUUGUGAUGUACUCAUGCCUCUUCUAUGCAUGAUUUUCAUGUGCAGAUCUAGGUACCUCCUCUUAGGCGCAUUAUUAGUGAUCAGGGAGAGCUAUGGAGACUUGAGGUAUAUCUGCCGCAUCCGCAGACCGAAGAGUCCCUCUUAAUCUAUUUUGUAGUACUUAGCUUCCUGGUUUUCUUUGAUGUAGACGCUUCUGGAGUUUGAAUCCCUUUACUAUACAUUUCUAUAGGCUUCUGGAGUUUGAAUCCCUUUACUAUACAUUUCUAUAGGCUGUGUUGCCCGUGAGUUUUUGGGUUUUGGGAUUGUUGAUUCAAACUUGUGAUGUUGAGUCUUGUAUGUUGAGCGACACUCAUAUACAGUUUUCCUUCAGCUUAUCCAGUUUUUAUUUAUUGUUCUCUGCAAGUGAUGUUAUUUUUGCACUGUUAGGCUUACCUAGCCAUAGUGACUAGGUGCUAUCAUGACAUGUUCACGAAUGGUGAACUAGGGUCAUGACGACGUUGGUAUCAGAGCUCUAGGUUCAUAGGAGUCACGAUAUACAGGCCGGUUUAUUAGAGUCUCGAUGAUCGGUACAGAGAUGUCUAUACUUAUUUGCGAGAGGCUAUGUAACUAUUUAGGAAAAAAAUAUUCCCUUCAUUGAAUUCCUUGUCGUGCUAUAUUUUGACAUCGAUUCUAAAACUUAUGUCUUCUAUUCUCCCGCCGAUAGUGAGGACACGUUCUACUCAGGAUUAUCAGGCACCCGCGCCCCCUGCUGCAGCCGGCAGAGGUUGGGGCUGAGGCUGAGGCCAUAGAUGCGCGUGUGGUGUAGCCAAAGCACCUGCGUGAGCUACCGCCGAGGUACCGCCAGCAGAUCUAGUCGGAGUUCAGGCACCUGAUACACCUACCGCCACUACUACUCCAGCCUUCAGGAGACAUUAGCUCAGUUCAUGUCUAUGUACACCACCUUGGCUCAGGGGGAGUUGCUUCCCCUCGCUGCAACCACAUCCCAGGCUGGGGGAAGGGCUCAGACUCCUGCAGCCCACACUCCUAAGCAGAGAGUGCAUAUGGAGCAGGUCCCAGAGAUCAUUCCUGUACUGCUUGCAGUUCCAGAUCAGCCCGCGAAUGGGACAGCUGCGUCUGAGGACGAGCAACUAAGGUUGGCGAGGUUCAAGAAGUAUGAUCCUCCGGUUUUCAGGAAAUUAGCCAUAGAUGAUGACUUGGGAUUUCUAGAGGAGUGCCACUAUAUUCUUCACACUAUGGGCAUAGUAGAGUCCAGCGGGGUUUCUUUUACUGCUUUACAAUUUCGGGGAGCCGCUUAUAAUUGGUGGCGCACUUAUGAUAUAGACAGUCCAGUCGAGGCUGCUUCCCCGACUUAGACCCAGUUCUCGGAGAUGUUUAUGAGAGAGUUUUUCCCCAGAUUCUUAGAGACGCAUGGUGCGCAGAGUAUGAGCAUUUGUUCCAGGGUGCCAUGACCAUUUUAGAAUAUGCUAUCCAUUAUACCAGGUUGGCCAGGGAUGCACCGGCUUUGGUUACUGCAGUCCGCAAGAGAGUUUGCAGGUUCAUUGACGGUCUUAUCCUACCCAUCAGAUCUAGCAUGGCUUGAGAGUUGGAGAUGGACAUUGAUAGUUGGAUUAUGGGACAGUAUCCCGGGAGAUCCACUGAACAAUGAGAAAGGACUACAUGACGGUAUCUUGGGAGAUCCUCAUGGUAUCUUUGGUAUUGAGCUAUACAUUUCCGUGUGUAUUUAUUACUUUGUUAUUUGUUGUCGACUUGUGUAUUCUGACAUAUUUUGUUGUUGUUUCCAUAAUUUUAUCUGUUUUUCAUACAUUACAUCCUUAUUGUUAUGUUUUAUCCCAAUAAGGCCCUGACCUUCCUCGUUACUACCCGACCGAGGUUAGGCUUGGCACUUACUGAGUAUCGUUGUGGGCUACUCACGCCUCUUCUGCGCAUGUUUUCAUGUGCAAAUCCAGGUAUCUCCUCUCAAGCACAUUAUCAGUGAUCAGGGAGAGCUACGACGACUUGAGGUAUAUCUGCCGCUUCCGCACACCAAAGAGCCUCCCUGUUAAUCUAUCUUGUAGUACUUAGCUUCUUGUUUUUUUAUGUAGACACUUUUGGAGUUUAGAGCCCUUUAUUAUACAUUUAUAUAGCCUGUGUUGCCUGUGAGUUUUCGGGUUUUGGGAUUGUUGAUUCAAACUUGUGAUGUUGAGUUGUAUAUGUCGAGCGAGGCUUAUAUACAGUUUUCCUUAAGCUUAUCCAGUUUUUAUUUAUUAGUUUCCGCAAGUGAUGUUGUUUCCGCACUGUUAGGCUUACAUUGUCAUAGUGACUAGGUGCUGUCAUGACAUGUUCACGAAUGGUGAACUAGUGUCAUGAAAAGUUGGUGGCAAAGCUCUAAGUUCAUAGGUGUCACAGAACACAGGCCGGUUAACUAAAGUCUCGAUGAUCGGCACGGAGACGUGUAUACUUAUCUACGAGAGGCUAUGUAACUGUUUAGAAAAAAAAUAUUCACUUCAUUGACUUGUUGUUCCAUACUUUGACAUCAAUUCUAAAACUUCUGUCUUCUAUUCUUUCAGAGACGGUGAGGACACGUUCUACUCAGGAUGAUCAGGCACCUGCACCCCCUACUACAGCCGUUAGAGGCCGGGGCAGAUACCAUGGACGCGCACGUGGUAUAGCUUGAGCACCUGCGCAAGCUACCACUAAGGUACUGCCAGUAGAUCCAGCCGGAGUUCAGGAACCUGAUACGCCUACCAGCACUACUACUCCAGCCUUCAGGAGGGCAAAGGCGCUCAGGUGCGCUUAAAGUCUUAUUGCCUAUAUCUUAUCUUAAGACGAGGUCACCACCCCGCCUGCCUUAGUCUCAAAUAGGGCGCAAAUUGAGGUGAACAGACUGGACUGAACCUCCCUACGUCAAGAGCUUUUGGCUCUUCACAAGAGAGCACCAGGUCGUAACACCGGAAGACUGCGCCGUUAUUAGUUAUUAUUAAAAUGAUAUAAUUUCUUUGUAUGCUUAGUCACCAGUGGCACAACCUACGGGCUAAGUAGCGCCUUAAUGGGAGUAUUUUUUUCCUCCGCGAUAGUGUAAUACCAAGACCAGUAAGAGAGAAUGGACUUUAUCCAUUCGGACAAAACCCAUGCUUUGUAUGCUUAGUCACCAGUGGCAAAACCUACGGGUUAAGUAGCGCCUUAAUGGGAGUAUUUUUUUUCCUCCGCCCACCAGUGAAUGAUUCACUUUCAAGUUCUCGCCUCCGGCCCGGGAGAACACAGGGUCAAGCCAAGCCCUGACCCGCCUAACUGGAAUUCAUAUCUCCUUCGUCUGUACGCAAUUCAAGAUUUCGUUUGUCUUCAUGUUGGCGAUUUCUGAUGUGAAUUCGGCGGGUCAUCCCCCCUUCCUAUAGGUUCCCCCUUGCUGCGGGAGAGUCUUUCUCCAAUGAGAAAAAAGAAAUUUUUUGGGUAAGACAAGAAAGGAACUCGCCCUUUGACACCAAGGGAAAAGAGCUGAUUGUUGGCGAUGACUUGGUGAAGGGAAUCUAUGAGAGAAGGUUCUCGAACCGGGUUACGACCGAAUAGAGCGCGGAACCAACGAGUUCAGUCGAACAAGGUAACGAGUCUAAGGGAAGGAUCAAGCUUGAAAGGAAUGGACGGGCGUAGGCUUAAUAGUGAACGCAGACCCCCCUGCUUAUAGAAAACUAACGAGUUCAGUCGAACAAGGUAACGAGUCUAAGGGAAGGAUCAAGCGUCGACGUCGAUUCAUUAUUUUUAACGUCUCUAAUUCAAAACCAAACAUGAAACUUUGGUUUCAUUCGGCUCCUUUAUGGAGAUGAGUCAAUUUAUAGAUCUAAGAUGUGAACAAAAUUCGAAAAAAAAGAAUUCUACCCGGAUAACAAGCCUAAAGGUUUUCUUCUUGAUGAAAUCGAUAUUGAUGAUAGUGACGAUAUUGAUGAUAGUGACAAUCUUGGUGCUAGUGAUGAUAUCGAUCAUGACCUUGAUACGGAGCUGGAACUGCUAACUAGGAUGAAUGGGCUAACUAUGGAUAUGAUGCCAGAAAUAGACUGAUUUUAUAUCACCCUUCAAUUCAAAAGAUAGGAGAGCACCCCUUCUCCCGAAGUUACGGGGUCAUUUUGUCGAGUUCCUUCGACAUGGUUCUCUCAAGCGCCCUAGUAUACUCUACUUGUUCACCUGUGUCAGUUUCAUUAGCUCAGUUCAUAUCUAUGUACACCACCUUGGCUGAGGAGGGGUUGCUUCCCCUUGCUGCAGCCACAUCCCAGGCCAGGGGAGGGGCUCAGACUCCCGCAGCCCACACUCCUAAGCAAAGAGUGCAUAUGGAGCAGGUCCUAGAGAUCAUUCUUGUACCGCCUACAGUGCCAGAUCAUCCCGCACAUAGGGCAGCUGCGUUUAAAGACGAGCAGCAGAUGUUGGGGAGGUUCAAGAAGUAUGAUCCUCCGAUUUUCAGUAGAUUAGCGACAAAUUAUAACUUGGGAUUUCUAUAGGAGUGCCACCAAAUUCUUCGCACUAUGGGCAUAGUUGAGUCCAGUGGGGUUUCUUUUACUGCUUUUUAGUUUCAGGGAGUCGCUUAUAAUUGGUGGCUCACUUGUGAGAUAGACAGUCCAGUCGAGGCGGCUUCCCUAACUUGGACCAGUUCUUGGAGAUGUUUAUAAGAGAGUUUCUCCCCCAGAGUCUCAGGUACGCAUGGCGUAGAGUUUGAGCAUUUGCGCCAAGGUGCCAUGAGCGUUUCAGAGUAUGCUAUAUGUUAUACCAGGCUGGCCAGGGAUGCACCGGCUUUGGUUGCUACAGCACUUGAGAGAGUUUGCAAAUUUAUUGAGGGUCUUAUCCCACCCAUCAGAUCUAUCAUGGCUUGAGAGUUGGAGAUGGAUAUUCCUUAUCAGCAGGUAGUAAGCAUUGCUAGGAGGAUCAAGGGUAUGCUCGCCAGGGAGCGAGUAGAGAGAGAGAGGCCAAGAGGUCUCAAGAGUUGGGCCACUACUCUAGUUUCUGUACCCAGCAGCAUGUCGACAUGGUAGGGGUUUUGUGGGUUGCCCCGUUCAUUCAACUCUUCCAGCAGCCAGCAGCCAACAGCCAACAGUGCUCUAGCUCCGCCUAUAUCUCAGGAGUCUUACUAUGCACCUUUAGUUUCUAGCGCGCCUCCUGCAAGGGGUGCUUCUAGGGGUUAGUCCAUCAAACCUGGCCCUAUCCAGUCACAGCCGCCACAUCCUCCUAGAGCUUGUUUCGAGUGUGGCGAUACACGCCAUAUAGUUAGGGAUUGCCCCAGACUUGGUAGGGGUGCAUCCUCACAGAGUGCUCGGCCACAAUGUACGUCUCAAAGUUAUAAGGCCAUGAUCAUAGCUCCAGCUACCACCCUAUCUGCCCAACCAGCUAGGGCGGAGGUCGGGGAAAUAGAGGUCACCCUUGAGAGAGGGGCCAUGUCAGAUAUUAUGCCAUUACUGCUCGUACCGAGGUUGUUGCCUCAAAUUCUGUCAUUACAGCUAUUAUACUGGUUUUUCAAAGAGAUGUAUCGGUUCUAUUCUAUCCAAGCUCUACCUAAUUUAAUGUGUCUUCUUAUUUUGCCCCGCAUUUGUGUAUAGCCCGAGAUUCCUUGAGUUCUCGUGUUUAUGUUUCCACUUCUGUGGGAGAGUCUCUUAUUGUGGACCGCUUUUAUCGGUCGUGUUUGAUUACUAUUUGUGGUUUUGAGACCAGAGCGGACCUAUUGUUACUCGGUAUGGUUGACUUUGACCUUAUUUUGGGCAUGGACUGGUUGUCGCCCAAUCAUGCUAUUCUUGAUUGUCACGGCAAGACCGUGACGCUGGCUAUGCCAGGUAUUCCGAGUAUUAAGUGGAGUGCUACUUUAGAUCACACCACCAGUAGAGUUAUCUCUUUUCUUAGAGCUUAGCAUGUGGUUGAGAAGGGGUGUGCGGCGUAUUUAGCCUAUGUGAGAAAUGUCCGUAUUUAUACCCCUUCUAUUGAUUUGGUCCGGGUGGUACGGGAUUAUCUCGAUGUGUUUCUAGCUAAUCUUCCGGGUAUUCAAGCAGAUAGAGACAUUGAUUUUGCCAUUGAAUUAUUGUUGGGAACUCAGCCCAUUUCCAUUCCCCUGUAUUGUAUGGCUCUUCCUGAGUUGAAGAAGUUGAAACAUCGGUUUCUAAAAUUGCUUGAUAAGGGUUUUAUUCGACCCAGUUUUUCACCAUGGGGUGCUCUUGCCUUGUUUGUGAAGAAAAAGGAUGGUUCUAUGCGCAUUUGCAUCGAUUACCGCGAGUUGAACAAAGUUACAGUGAAGAACCAUUAUCCUUUGCCUCGUAUUGAUGAUCUAUUUGACCAGCUUCAGGGUGCACAAGUGUUUUCUAAGACUGAUUUGCACUCAGGUAACAAUCAGUUGAAGAUUCUGGUGCUGGACAUCCCGAAGACUGCUUUCAGGACUCGGUAUGGUCAUUACGAGUUUCUGGUUAUGUCAUUUUUGUUGACCAAUGCCCCAACAGCUUUUAUGCAUUUGAUGCACAAUGUAUUCAGGCCAUAUCUUGACUCAUUCGUCAUUGUUUUCAUAGAUGAUAUUCUUGUAUACUCCUGGGGUAAGGUAGAUCAUGAGCAAAACCUGAGGAUCGUGCGUCAUACCCUAAGAGAGAAGAAGUAUAUGAAGUUCUCAAAAUGUGAGUUUUGAUUGAGUUCUGUGGUAUUCCUAGGCCAUGUGGUAUCGAGUGAGGGCAUUCGGGUAGAUCCAAAGAAGAUGAAGGUCGUGCAGAGUUGGCCCAGGGCCUCCUCCGCUAUAAGGAUUCAUAGUUUCCGUUGCUUGGAGGGUUAUUACCAUUGUUUUGUGGAGGGGUUUUCAUCAAUUGCAGCCCCUAUGACUAGAUUGACCCAAAAGGGUGCUCCAUUUCAGUGGACAGAGGAGUGUGAGGAGAGCUUUCAUAAGCUCAAGACUGCUUUGACUACAGCCCCUAUUUUGAUAUUGCCUACUGGUUCAGGAUCUUAUACGGUUUAUUGUGAUGCCUCACUAGUUGGCCUUGGAGCGGUGUUGAUGCAGGACGGUAGGGAUAUUGCCUAUGCGUCUAGACAGUUAAAUAUACAUGAGAAGAAUUACCCCAUCCACGAUCUUGAGUUAGCUACUAUUGUUCAUGCCCUGAUGAUCUGGCCCCAUUAUUUGUACUGCAUGCCUUGUGAGAUUUACACGGAUCAUCAGAGUUUACAGCACUUGUUCAAGAAAAAAGAUCUAAACUUGCCCCAAAUGAGGUGGUUGGAGUUACUGAAGGAGGUGGUUGAAUAGAUCUACUACCCAGGCAAGGCCAAUGUGGUAGCCGAUGCCUUCAAUCGCCGGGCGGGGAGUUUGGCAUAUUUUCUAGCUUCAAAGAGGCCUAUGGCGAUGGAUGUUCAGACCUUAGCCAUCCAUUUUGUGAGAUUGGACCAUUCGGAGCCUAGUCGUGUUCUAGCUUUUGUGGUUUCUUGAUCUUGAUUGUUCGAUCAUAUCAGGGAGCGAUAGUAUGAUGUCCCUCAUUUACUUGUCCUCAGGGACACGGUUUAGCAUUGCGAUGCCAUAUGUGACCAUUGGAUAUGAUAGGGUAUUGAGGAAUCCGGGUUGGAUAUGUGUACCCAAUGCUGAUGAUAUUUGGGUGUUGAUAUUGGCAGAGGCUCAUAGUUCGCGGUAUACCAUCCAUUCGGAUGCUACGAAGAUGUAUCAGGACUUGAGACAGCACAAUUGGUGGAGGCGGAUGAACAAGGACAUAGAGGGUUUUGUAGCGAGAUACCUCAACUGUCAGCAGGUGAAGGCUGAGCACCGGAGAUCGAGUGGGUUAUUUCAGCAUAUGGAUAUUCCGGAGUGGAAAUGGGAGAGGAUCACCAUGGAUUUUAUAGUUGGACUCCUUCAGACUUUGAAAAAAUUCAAUUCCAUCUGUAUUGUUGUAGAUUGGCUAACCAAGUUCGCGCACUCUAUUCCCGUGUGUACUACUUAUUCAUCAGAGCGGUUGGCAGAGAUUUAUAUAUGGGAGAUUGUCCGACUGCAUGACAUUCUAGUUUCUAUUAUUUCAUACAGAGGUACUCAGUUUAUAUCACGGUUCUGAAGAUUCAUUCAGCAGAAGAUGGGUACUCGGGAGACGAUGAGUACGGCAUUUCACCCCCAGACGGACAGGCAGUCCGAAUACGCUAUUUAGAUUCUUGGGAAUAUGCUCCGCGUGUGUGUGAUUUAGUUUGGAGGGUCUUGGGAUCAGUUCUUGCCACUGGCGGAGUUUGCUUACAACAACAGUUAUCAGUCCAGCAUUCAGAUGGCGCCGUAUGAGGCUUUAUAUGGUAGAAGAUGCAGAUCCCCAGUUGGUUGGUUUGAGCCGGGUGAGUCCAGGCUAUUGGGCACUGAUUUGGUCAAUGAUGCGGUAGAGAAGGUUAAGAUGAUCCAGGACACACUCCGUAUAGUCAAUAGCAACGUAUUAGUCUUUAUAUGGUAGACGAUGCAGAUCCCCGGUGGGUUAGUUUGAGCAGGGUGAGGCCAGGCUAUUGGGCACUAAUUUUGUUCAGGAUGCGGUAGAGAAGGUUAAGGUGAUUCAGGAUAGACUCCGUACAGCUCAUUCGAGACAGAAGAUUUACACAGACCGGAAGGUUCGUGAUGUUUCCUAUAUGGUUGGUGAGUGGGUUCUACUUUGGGUCUCGCCUAUGAAGGGCGUCAUGAGAUUUGGGAAGAAAGGGAAGUUGAUUCCGAGAUUUAUUGGCAUUUUUGAGAUUUUGAGGCAAGUUGGGGAGGUUGCUUACGAGCUUGCCUUACCUCCCAGUUUGGCCGGGGUUCAUCCGGUAUUUCAUGUUUUAAUGCUCCGGAGGUAUCAUAGUGAUUCGUUGCACGUCUUGGAUUUCACUUCAGUCCAGUUGGACAAGGACCUAUCCUGUAUUGAGGAGCCAGUCGCUAUAUUGGAAAGGCAGGUCAGGAAGUUUGGGUCAAAGAACAUUGCUUCAGUAAAGGUUUAGUGGCAGGGUCAGACGGCCUAGGAGGCGACUUGGGAGAACAAGCGGGAUAUGCAAAAACGAUACCCUCAUCGUUUCACUACUUCAGGUAUAUUCUCUAUGCUCGUUUGAGGACAAACGAAUACUUAAGUGUAGGAGGAUUUAACAACCCGACCGGUCUUUUUUGGAAUUUACACCCUGAUCCUCAUUAACUGCAUCCCCUAUGUUCAUUUCUACUAUUUUGGUUUUUCGGGAUGUUCGGUAUUAGGUAUCGAAGAGUUUUGGGAUACUUAGUCCAUAAAUGAGAGCUAAGUGUCGGGGGUAUGUAGUUAGAGCAGUGUGAAGACGACCUUAAAAUGAAAAACUGAUGAUUCCAUUAGCUCAGUUAGGUAAUUUAAAGGUUGGGAGCGUAUUCGGAAUGUAUUUUGGGAGUCCGUAGCUCAUUUAGGCUUGUAAUGCCGAAGUUUGAAUUUUUGAAGUUUUUGGUCCGACAGUGAAUUUUUGAUCCUACGAUCAGAAUGGAAUUUCGGAUUGUAGUAGCUCCAUCAUGUCAUUAGAUAUGUGUGUGCAAAAUUUCAGGUCAUUCAGACAUGUUUUAUUUAGGUUUUUGAUCGAAAGUGUGUUUUGAUAAAAUUUGAAGUUCUUAGACUUAAAUCAUUAAUUAAUUCGAGUUUCCAAUGUUGUGUUAGGUGGCUUGAGGAUUGGUGAGAUUUUGAAUGAUGUUAAGGGACAUGUACAUGGGUUUGGUUGAGGUCCCGGGGGCUUCGGGUGUGUUUCGGAUGCUCAACAGGGUAUUUUUUGUGUUGGAAAAAUGUCGCAGCAGCUGAAACUCUUCAGUCAUCUGGUAUUUUUGCUUCUGUGGCUUGGAAAUUUCAGAAGCGGAGCCGCAGAAGUGGCCCUGCCUAUCGCAGAAACGUCUUUUGGUCAUCCUCCAGGAACCUUCAGAAGCGGUAGUGGUUCCGCAGAAGCGGAUCCGCUUCUGCGAGAUGGGAACCGCAUAAGGGGAUGCUGGGAUUUUUAAAGAAGCCGCAGAAGCAGCCAGAGUUCCGUACAAGCGGGACCACAGAAGCGGGAUUCACUAUUUAGAAAAGAGAAUUUCGAGGGUUAGUUUUCAAAAGUUAGAAAAAUCAAAUUGAGCUCGGGGAAGGG